AAUGUAAUUUCUGGGUCAUAUGGUUAGUGAAUUUUUAAUUUUAGAAGAAAUUGUUAAACUAUUUUCCAGAGUGACUAUACCAUUUUACAUUCCCACCUACAAU
rnacentral:pre_miRNA from 1 species